rnacentral:lncRNA from 1 species
CUCGGCAGCGCCUGCCUCGGCUCGCUCUUCGUGCCCACCAUCGAGGCGCUCCGCAUCCUCGCCCGCGGGCUCAACCUGCUGGAGGGCGAGGACGAGUUCAUGUUCUCCUGCGCGCACUGCUGCCUCAACGUCAUGAACGCCGUCUUCGAGUUCGGCAACAGCUGGGCAUUCGUCCAUGUAAGCGAAGCUUUCCUGCUCCUCAGUCCAUGCAUAUCCUCUGUACUGACAAGCUUAGUUUGUCUGACUAUGGUGAUUCGUUUAUGUUGGUUUGUCGAGCAGAUUGCGGCGUACGGCAGGGGGUUCGUGCAGGCGUCGCGGAGCACGUGGAACCAGUUCGAGGGGCAGCCGGGGAUGCCGGCGCUGGCGGACGCGGACAUCACGAGCUCGGUGUGCUUCCUGACCGGGGUGACCAGCGGCGCGCUGUGCGUGGCGCUGGCGGGCUCGUGGACGUUCGUGACGCACAAGCACUACACGGCCACAGUGUCGCUCAUGGCGUUCUACGUGGGGUACCUGAUGACCCGGAUCGGCAUGGCGCUGCCGCAGGCGUGCGUGGGCUGCUACUACGUGUGCUACGCCGAGAACCCCAGGUCCCGGCUCUUCGAGGACAGCCCCAUAGGGGAGCGGCUGAACAAGAUGAAGGAGGACGGGCAGGACGCCGUCGGGGUCGCGCCCACCCCGCGGUUCCCGCACCAGCACGUCAGCGCCGCCUGACCCCGGCCGCCGCCGCCGUGUACACUGUACAGGCAAGAACAUGUUGGCCCAAGAACCGGAUCGUGCGAUGUCAUUCCAUAGCUGCUGGUGCUGGCCGAGUUGACCGGCGGCGGCGGACUUGCAUUGGCGUCGCGUGAAAGCAAGGCAACCGGAGGAAGGAGGAUCGGAGAAGGGAUCUCGUAUGACCCAUGCGGCGAAUCGUAGUUCUCACGCUGCCGAGGCUUAUCGACUCGGGAGCACGAGUUGAUGUUCUCUUCUCUUGUGUCUAAAAUAGGGACGUACUAGGGCCAACUCUUUUUGACGUAGUGUUCUGUAAAUUCGUCCAUUUUUUGGCAAUGUUUCUCAGCUGUUAUUAGGGGUAGCAGAAGCCUGAGCAUUUCAUCUUUCAGGUCUAGCAAAAUUUGUCAGAGUGAUUUUACAAGGAUGCCAUGUGAAUAUUUUCUUGUAAGAUCAUCUUU